GCCUGAGUGGCGGAACUGGUAGACGCGCACGACUCAAACUCGUGUUCCUUUGGAGUGCCGGUUCGAUCCCGGCCUCAGGUA
rnacentral:tRNA from 1 species